AAAGGAAUAGACGGGGACCCGCACAAGUGGUGGAGCGUGUUCUUUAAUUCGAUGAUAAGCGAAGAACCUUACCAGGGCUUGACAUCCUUGGAAUUUCUCCGAAAGGAGAGAGUACUUUAUUGGACCAAGUGACAGGUGUUGCAUGGCCGUCGUCAGCUCGUGUCGUGAGAUGUUAGGUUAAGUCCUUCAACGAGCGCAACCCUUAUGUUUAGUUGGAUUUUUCUAAACAGACUGCCUCUGUAAGGGGGAGGAAGGAGGGGAUGAUGUCAGGUCAUUAUUACCCUUACGUCCUGGGCUAGAAACGCGCUACAAUGGCCGGUACAAAGGGCAGCCAACCCGCGAGGGGGAGCAAAUCCCAUCAAAACCGGUCCCAGUUCGGAUAAGAGGCUGAAACUCGCCUCUUUGAAGCCGGAAUCACUAGUAAUCGUAGGUCAGCACACUACGGUGAAUACGUUCCCGGGUCUUGUACACACCGCCCGU
rnacentral:rRNA from 1 species